ensembl:lncRNA
CUCCUAACCUCUCCCUUAACCAAACCUCCUAACCUCUCCUUUAACCAAACCUCCUAACCUCCCCUUUAACCCCAGCCUCCUAACCUCCCCUUUAACCAAACCUCCUAACCUCCCCUUUAACCAAACCUCCUAACCUCCCCUUUAACCGAGCCUCCUAACCUCCCCUUUAACCAAACCUCCUAACCUCUCCUUUAACCAAACCUAACCUCCCCUUUAACCCCAGCCUCCUAACCUCCCCUUUAUUGGUUUAUUAAAACGAUUAGACUGGACCACAACAAUAUCGAGGCUGGACAACGACGACUUUAAGAAUGAAGAAUGAACCACAAGACUAGACUAAAGCCUCCUUCCCUCUCCCCAAACUUUGCUGAAGUCUGGAAGAAGAGACUACAACAUGACAACUGGACGACCAGAGGACCACUGAGCCAAGAACCUGUCUGCACUGAACUGGGCCACAGACUGAAAGCUAGCUUCAAUGCUAGCUGAAAUCUGUCCAGUUGAUAAUAGAGCACAACAUACAUGUCUGUCUGUCUGUCUGUCUGUCUGUCUGUCUGUCUGUCUGUCUGUCUGUCUGUCUGUCUGUCUGUCUGUAGUGAUGGGUUAGUAGAAACAAGAAAGUUCAUGUUGUUCUAGAGAUCAUACUAUACUACACAUAGGACUGUGUUUUUACCGGGUAGCUCAGUAUCCACCAGUUGAUGACUUGUUAUAGUGGGCAGCUCCUCGUUUACACCAGUAUGAGACUUGCUGUACUGGUAAGCUCCAAGUGCAACCAGUAAGAGACUGGUUGCCCAUUAUAACCAGUAGUAGACUGUGUUGUACUACUCGCAUCUGUAGCACCUGUUUUUAAAGUCAAUAAACUGCUGGCUGUGAAUACCGUUAACAUGAACACGUUUCCAAGUUUUGUUUUUAUAAUAUUUUCUGUAUUUCUUUUUAAUUAAAUUGUGUUUUUACGACUCUAAAUCCAGAACAUAUUGCAUAAUAUGUUAGCAUUAUGUGGCCCCACCUCUUCCUGUGAUGUCAUUUGGUUGCCAGUCAAUCAACCAAUCCAAGCCCCCCCUCUUCAAAGACUUUAUCUACCUGUGGUGUCAUGUCCUGCCGUUGGUUGGUUCUCAUUGUACUAGUGUUGCUAGUGGCCAUCUUGUCUUGGUGGUGAUGUCGUAUAAGUGGACAAUAGUGGUCUUGUUCGUAGUUUGCCUCAUUUUGAAAUAAACCAAUUUGUC